CAGCCGCCGCGGUAAAACGUAGGGUGCAAGCGUUGUCCGGAAUUAUUGGGCGUAAAGAGCGUGUAGGCGGCUCGACAAGUCCGCUGUGAAAGUCCAGGGCUCAACCCUGGAAUGCCGGUGGAUACUGUCGAGCUAGAGUCCGGAAGGGGCGAGUGGAACUCCUGGUGUAGCGGUGAAAUGCGCAGAUAUCAGGAAGAACACCAAUGGCGAAGGCAGCUCGCUGGGACGUGACUGACGCUGAGACGCGAAAGCGUGGGGAGCGAACAGGAUUAGAUACCCCCGUAGUCCCUGUCUCUUAUAC
rnacentral:rRNA from 1 species